UACGUAGGGUGCGAGCGUUGUCCGGAAUUAUUGGGCGUAAAGAGCUCGUAGGCGGUGUGUCACGUCGGCCGUGAAAACCUGCAGCUUAACUGUGGGCGUGCGGUCGAUACGGGCAUCACUGGAGUUCGGCAGGGGAGACUGGAAUUCCUGGUGUAGCGGUGAAAUGCGCAGAUAUCAGGAGGAACACCGGUGGCGAAGGCGGGUCUCUGGGCAGUAACUGACGCUGAGGAGCGAAAGCUAGGGGAGCAAACAGG
rnacentral:rRNA from 1 species